rnacentral:rRNA from 1 species
CAGUCGCCACGGGAAUACGUAGGGCGCAAGCGUUAUCCGGAAUUAUUGGGCGUAAAGAGCUCGUAGGCGGUUUGUCGCGUCUGCCGUGAAAGUCCGGGGCUCAACCCCGGAUCUGCGGUGGGUACGGGCAGACUAGAGUGAUGUAGGGGAGACUGGAAUUCCUGGUGUAGCGGUGAAAUGCGCAGAUAUCAGGAGGAACACCGAUGGCGAAGGCAGGUCUCUGGGCAUUAACUGACGCUGAGGAGCGAAAGCAUGGGGAGCGAACAGGAUUAGAUACCCGAGUAGUCCCUGUCUCUUAUAA